GGGGUCGGACACGGAGCGCAGCUACCUGGUGCUGGACCCGGCGCGCGCGCUCACGGCCGCCGUGCUGGCGCGCACGCUCGCGCUGCACCGCCUCCCCGCCUGCGCGCCGCCGCCGCGCCGGCCCAGCAGCCCGCCGCCGCCCGCCGGCGUGUCGGCUAGUGAGGAGCUGGCCAAGUGGAGGAGCGGAGAUUAUGGUUGGCCUUGGGCGGAGGGCAGCACGCUGGAGGCGGAGCUAUGCGCGGAGCGCGCGCGGCGCGCGGCGGCGCGGCUCGAGGCGCGGCGCGGCGAGCUGGCCGCCGACCUGCUCGUCGCCGAGACGCUCACCGACCGCGCGCUGUGCCGCCAGGUGGUGCUGCUGGCGCUGCGCCCGGCGGCGGGCUCGUUAUGACCUGUGUAGCGAUUCACACUGUACCUUAUAUUUAUUACGCUGUAACAUAUACAUUAUCUAUAUCAUUACUCGUAAAUUAAAUAUUCAUAUGUGAUAUCUA